rnacentral:rRNA from 1 species
GAUGAACGCUGGCGGCGUGCCUAAUACAUGCAAGUCGAGCGAACGGACGAGAAGCUUGCUUCUCUGAUGUUAGCGGCGGACGGGUGAGUAACACGUGGAUAACCUACCUAUAAGACUGGGAUAACUUCGGGAAACCGGAGCUAAUACCGGAUAAUAUUUUGAACCGCAUGGUUCAAAAGUGAAAGACGGUCUUGCUGUCACUUAUAGAUGGAUCCGCGCUGCAUUAGCUAGUUGGUAAGGUAACGGCUUACCAAGGCAACGAUGCAUAGCCGACCUGAGAGCAGGAGGGGGCACAGUGGAAGAAACACCCGGUAGGCACACCUACGGGAGGGAGCAGCAGGGAAUGAUCAGAGAUGGGAGAAAGCCUGCAGAAGCAGGUUAACGUGAGUGAUGAAGGUCUUAGGAUCGUAAAAAUCUGUUAUUGGAAAAGAACAUAUGUGUAAGUACCUGUGAACAUCUUGAGGCUACCUAAUCAGAAAGCCAAGGCUAACUACGUG